rnacentral:rRNA from 1 species
UACGUAGGGGGCAAGCGUUGUUCGGAAUUACUGGGCGUAAAGGGCGCGUAGGCGGCACAGCAAGUCGGGAGUGAAAGCCCGGGGCUCAACCCCGGAAUGGCUUUCGAAACUGCUGAGCUAGAGUACAGAAGGGGCAACCGGAAUUCCCAGUGUAGCGGUGAAAUGCGUAGAUAUUGGGAAGAACACCUGAGGCGAAGGCGGUUAGCUGGGCAGUAGCUGACACUGAGGCGCGACAGCGUGGGGAGCAAACAGG